rnacentral:tRNA from 1 species
GAUCUGGUGGCUCAGCUGGACAGAGCACACGGCUACGAACCGUGGGGUCGGGGGUUCGAAUCCCUCCCAGAUCACCA